GACGAACGCUGGCGGCGUGCUUAACACAUGCAAGUCGAGCGGUAAGGCCCUUUCGGGGGUACGACGAGCGGCGAACGGGUGAGUAACACGUGGGUGACCUGCCCUCAGCUCUGGGAUAAGCCUGGGAAACCGGGUCUAAUACUGGAUAUGACUCCAUGACGCAUGUUGUGGGGUGGAAAGCCUUGUGCGGCUGAGGAUGGGCCCGCGGCCUAUCAGCUUGUUGGUGGGGUGANGGUCCUACCAAGGCGACGACGGGUAGCCGGCCUGAGAGGGCGACCGGCCACACUGGGACUGAGACACGGCCCAGACUCCUACGGGAGGCGGCAGUGGGGAAUCUUGCGCAAUGGGCGAAAGCCUGACGCAGCGACGCCGCGUGA
rnacentral:rRNA from 1 species